rnacentral:rRNA from 1 species
GAUAAACGCUGGCGGCGUGCCUAAUACAUGCAAGUCGAGCGGAAAGGCUCCUUCGGGAGUACUCGAGCGGCGGACGGCUGAGUAACACGUAGGAACGUACCCCAAAGUGAGGGAUAACUGCUCGAAAGAGUAGCUAAUACCGCAUGUGCUCUAAGGAGUAAAGCUUCGGCGCUUUGGGAACGGCCUGCGCCUGAUUAGCUUGUUGGUGAGGUAAAAGCUCACCAAGGCGACGAUCAGUAGCUGGUCUGAGAGGAUGAUCAGCCAGACUGGGACUGGGAACGGCCCAGACUCCUACGGGAGGCAGCAGUAGGGAAUUUUCCACAAUGGGCGAAAGCCUGAUGGAGCAACGCCGCGUGCAGGAUGAAUGCCUUCGGGUUGUAAACUGCUUUUAUAUGUGACGAAUAUGACGGUAGCAUAUGAAUAAGGAUCGGCUAACUCCGUGCCAGCCGCCGCGGUAA